UGGGGAAUAUUGGACAACGGGCGCAAGCCUGAUCCAGCCAUGCCGCGUGAGUGAUGACGGCCUUAGGGUUGUAAAGCUCUUUCGCUAGGGACGAUAAUGACGGUACCUAGACAAGAAGCCCCGGCUAACUUCGUGCCAGCAGCCGCGGUAAUACGAAGGGGGCUAGCGUUGUUCGGAAUUACUGGGCGUAAAGCGCGUGUAGGCGGGCUUUUAAGUCAGGGGUGAAAUGCCAAGGCUCAACCUUGGAACUGCCUUUGAUACUGGAAGUCUUGAGUCCGGGAGAGGUGAGUGGAACUGCGAGUGUAGAGGUGAAAUUCGUAGAUAUUCGCAAGAACACCAGUGGCGAAGGCGGCUCACUGGCCCGGAACUGACGCUGAGACGCGAAAGCGUGGGGAGCAAACAGG
rnacentral:rRNA from 1 species